rnacentral:rRNA from 1 species
AGUGAACGCUGGCGGUAGGCCUAACACAUGCAAGUCGAACGGCAGCACAGUAAGAGCUUGCUCUUACGGGUGGCGAGUGGCGGACGGGUGAGGAAUACAUCGGAAUCUACUUUUUCGUGGGGGAUAACGUAGGGAAACUUACGCUAAUACCGCAUACGACCUACGGGUGAAAGCAGGGGAUCUUCGGACCUUGCGCGAUUGAAUGAGCCGAUGUCGGAUUAGCUAGUUGGCGGGGUAAAGGCCCACCAAGGCGACGAUCCGUAGCUGGUCUGAGAGGAUGAUCAGCCACACUGGGACUGAGACACGGUCCAGACUCCUACGGGAGGCAGCAGUGGGGAAUAUUGGACAAUGGGCGCAAGCCUGAUCCAGCCAUACCGCGUGGGUGAAGAAGGCCUUCGGGUUGUAAAGCCCUUUUGUUGGGAAAGAAAAGCAGCAGGUUAAUACCCCGCUGUUCUGACGGUACCCAAAGAAUAAGCACCGGCGAACUUCGU